rnacentral:lncRNA from 1 species
GGCUCGAACCCACGAACCGCAAGAUCAUGACCUGAGCUGAAGUCAGAUGCUUAACUGAGCCGCUCAGGCAUUCCGCUAAAGUUGUUCUUUAAAAAAUACUCAUGUCUAGGCCCACGGCUACCCCCAUUAAAUCAGAAUCUCUGGUUUGGGGCCUGGGCCGAGACCCCCACUCUGGUGUCACCGUGACCCCAAACAUUUCAUUCCACUGCCAUCAUUCACACACUCACCCCGAGGGAGAAGGAGUGACCCCCCCCAUUCACUUUCUGGGGCCACCGUAACCACCACCACAACCUGGGUGGCUUAAAACAACAGGAAUCCACUCUGUUCCAGGGCCCUGGGGCCAGAAGUCUGAAGUCCACGUGUCAGCAGAGUCAUGCUCCCCCCAAAAGUUCCAGGGAGGAUCCUUCCAUGCUUCUUCCAGCUUCUGGCAGUUGCCCACGAGCCUUGGCAUUUCUGGGCUUCUAGCUGCGUCCCUCCCAUCCCUGCCUCCCUCCUCAUGUGGCCUCCCUCCCUAUGUCUGUCCAUGUCCCUGUUUUCCCUUCUUACAAGGACACCAAUCAUUGGACUGGGCCCACCCUUGUCCAGAAUGACCUCAUCUUAACUAUUUACAUCUGCUAAGACCCUUUCUCCAAAUAAGGUCACAUUCCGAGGUUCUGGAUGGACAGGAAUUCCGGAGGGGCGCUAUUCAACCCAGCACGUUGAGAAUGGGAACCCAGUGAACCUUGUCAGGACCAGACGAUACAGCGACAGGUGCGGCCCCCUUCUCCACUUCCUGCAGUAACUGUGCCUCUGUUAUGGCCCCGGGCCUCCUCUAAGAAACAGGUCUGAGGCUCGGCUCCCUCCAGGUGUGCAGGCGUGACAAGGUGGUGUCUCCAUAAGUGUCCUUCUGGAGGAUCCCCAGGGGCUCCUGGGCCUGGGGGGAUGGGAACUGGGAAAGCCCCACGGGUCGUGUCAUCUCACUCCGUCCUACCAGAGAAAGCGCUGCGGUGUUGAUCUUCACCUAACAGGCCCUCAAGCCCGUUGCUGAAUUGGUUCCAAAUUGCAAGGUUGGGGAAGAGAAUGAUGAUUGGUGAUCACCCCUAAGAAUAAUUACACACAGCCCAGAUCUUGAGCCAAACAUCACCUGAAGGAGACGCACAUGGAUUCAUUCAAUUCCACAGCCAAAAUAUGAGGUCAGGACUCAUCGUCCCCUUUUCCCAGGUAAGGAAAUCAGGGUUCAGAGAAGUCAAGUACCUAGCCCAGAGUCUCACAGCUUGUAAGAGGCAGGGAACUGGAGAGGUGCCUGGGUGGUUCAGUUGGUUAACCGUCCGACUUUGGCUCAGGUCAUGAUCUCAUGGUUGGUGAGUUUGAGUCCCGUGUCCAGGUCUGUGCUGACAGCUCGGAGCCUGGAGCCUGCUUCGGAUUCUGUGUCUCCCUCCCUCUCCCUGCCCCGCCCCUGCUCACACUCUGUCCUUCUCUCAAAAAUAAACAUUAAAAAUAUAUAUAUAUUUUUAAGAGACAGAGGACUAGAUUUGAGCCCCAAAACCUGGCUCCAGAGGCUGUGCCCCAAACCAGGUUUCUGGAAACUGUGGCCCGUGGGCCAAUCUGGCCUGCCUGGGCAUGUAUUUGUAUGGCCUGCAGGCUGAGAAUGGCUUUUAACCCAUUUUUAAAGGGGAAGAAGAGGGAAAGGAGGAGGACGAGGACGAGGAGGAGGAGGAGAAAGAAGAUAGAACCAAGGCUGUACGUGGCCCACAAAGCCUAAACUCUUUACCCUGUCCCUUUAUGUUAAAAGUCUGCCGUGAUGCCUCCCAAGUCCCCUACAACGACUAGGAGAGGAUCAAAAAUGAUACGGAGGUUGCGGACAGAAAUCUGUAUCCGCAGGGUCAGCGUGUAAGAUGCCCGUGAAAUGAUGACAAAUCACAGGAGCACAUAGCUCCCAACUCAGGCCCACGACCCAGACGAGGCCAAUCACAGUACAUGUAUUAUGUUCCCAGGCGUAAUGACUGGUUCAGGCAGUAGUGUGUGAAAUAAGUCAGGUCAGUGAGAUGCAGUCUUGGGACUCUGCUAUAAAAUAGUCUUAAGAAUAAAGAGGAGGAAGGGGAGGAUUUAUUGGCUCACAUAAUUGAAAGUGUUCUCUUGCCAGCUUCAGGUACAGCUUGACCUAGGUGUCCACACAUGUACUUGCUUUCUAUUGCUGCAUAACAAAUUACCACAAACUUGGCAGCUUCGGCCAAUAAGGGUUUAUUAUCUCACAGUUCCCAUGGGUCAGAAAUCAGGCUAUGGGUUAGCUUGGGUCUCUGCUCAGGGUCACAGCAGACUGAAAUCAGGGUCUGACUUUAGCAGCCUUAGUGAAAAAUGUUUGAAGCUGCAAGUCAUUUCACAUUCAGGUUCCUCUUCCACACUUGCUGGCUGUGGAAACGAUCCCCGCCUGUUUGCUGUCUGUCACGGAAAGGCCACACGCUGCCAAGUGGCCUUCAUCACAAGACAGCAUUUUGACCUUUCAGGGCCAGCUGGAGCAUCUCUGAUUCCAGGGAAGACCCCAGUCCCUUUUCAGGAUUUACACCUGAUGGGUCAAGCCCACCCAGGAUUUUCUCCCUUUUGAUUCAUUCAAGUUCAACUGAUAGGGGUCCUUAAUCACAUCUUCAAAAUCCCUCCCCUUUAUCUCAAUCAUGGGAGUGAAAUCCAUCAUAUCCACAGUCCUGCCCACACCCAGGGGGACAGGGUUCUACGGAGCCUAUAUAUCCGAGAGGGGCAGGAAUCUUGGGUGCCACCUUAACAUUGCAAUGCAAUCCAUCUACCCCACAGCUCUCCUUCUGCCUCAGUUCUAAGCCCACACGUGGCCUCAAUUAGCACCCAGUUCAAACCCGGAAGUAAGAAAGCUCCUCUCAAUGGAGUGAAUGAAAAUAGGCCCUUUAUCCCCAUUGGCUCAAAAAGGAUCGCACACCUAUGUCUGAACCAAUCACCGGACAGAGCAUGGAAUGCACAGAUUGGCCAGGUCUGAGUCACAUGCCCGAAUCCGGAACAAGAAGCCGAAGCCACGUCACUAGAGGCUCUGGUGGAGGAAAUCCAGGAGGGACCAGUUUCCCCAUAGGAGAGGAGAGUUCUUGUUAUAAAAGCUGGGCACAUGGGGACGCCUGGGUGGCUCAAUCUGCUAAGUGUCAGGCUCUUGAUUUCAGCUCAGGUCAUCGCCUUACGGUUCGUGAGUUUAAGCCCUACAUGGGGUUCCACACUGGCAGUGCGGAGCCUGCUUGGGGAUUCUCUCUCCUUUUCUGCCCCUAACCCCCCCCCCCCUCGUGUUCUCUCUCUCUGUCAAAAAUAAACUUUUUUUUUAAUGUCUCUAUUUAUUUUUCAGAGACAGAGUGCGAGCAGGGGAGGGGCAGAAAGAGAGGAAGACCCAGAAUCCGAAGCAGGCUCCAGGCUCCGAGCUGUCAGCACAGAGCCCGACGCGGGGCUCGAACUCACGAACCGCGAGAUCAUGACCUGAGCCGAAGUCGGACGCUUAACCGGCUGAGCCACCCAGGCGCCCCAAUAAACAUUUUUUUUUAAACUGGACAAAUGGACCCUGAAAGCAAUCCCAGUUCUCCCUCAAAAAAGCAAAAAUCUGUGUGGUCCAUACAUACUCUCCUGGAUAGACUACCUUAUUUUAUCUCCAGUUCAAUGCCAUUUUUAUCAUCCAAAUUUCCAACCCUUUCCCUGAUUCCUAACUUCUAUGUUAUUGCAAUGUUAGCUUACAAAUGUAUAUUCACCUACAUGCCCUGCAA